AGCAAGGAGCAUUUAUUUUGCUAACAGGGGGCGGCAAGAGUUGGUGUUGAAUUUAAACUCUGAUGUUGGAGGGAUCCCACAUCGGGAAGCUAACAUAAGAGUGGAUGCGAAGCUGGCUUUAAAUAGAGGGAACCAUGAGGAGAGUAAAGGUACCUUUCUUGGCUGAUCCCUUUCGCUGUAUGGCGUGCUCGUUUGGGUUGGGCGUCGGCGAAGGGUGCUCGGAGCGUGGAUUAACUCCAGUCGCCAAUCAGGUGUGUAUUUCUCACUACUCUAGCUGUAGGAAGGCUACUUCGGCCCGCGAUAGGCCGAAAGGGGCUAUGUGGGCCCAAUGGGCCUACGAGCCCAAUUGGAUAAGUUGUUUGAUUGUGUAGUAAAUAUUGGACUAGGCUAGGUGAAUAUCAUAUUUGUGGCUAGAUUUGGGCUAAAAGGGCCACACGAGCGUGUAGGCCCAUUUCGGCCGAGAAUGGGCUUUAGGACCAUUUGUAUUGUUAUCUCUGUUUAGAAUACUUUAGUUUACCAAUUAUUGAAAUGCCCUCGAUUUAUAGAAUUACUGUUUUACCCUCAAUUUACAGAAUUAUCGUUUUACCCUCGAUUUCUAGAAUUACUAUUUUACCCUCGAUUUAUAGAAUUACUGUUUUACCCUUGAUUUACAGAAUUAUCGUUUUACCCUCGAUUUACAAAAUUACCAAAAUACCCUCGAUUAGGAAAAUUACCAAAAUACCCCUAGUUUGUAAAAUUACCAAAAUACCCCUAUUUUGUAAAAUUACCGAAAUACCACUGGUUUGUGAAAUUACCGAAAUACCCUUAAUUUGUAAAAUUACCAAAAUACCCCUGAUUUACAAAAUUACAGAAAUACCCUUACUUUCUAAAAAUUAUAGAAAUACCAUUGGUUUACAAAAUUACUGAAAUACCCUUGGUUUGUAUAUUUACCAAAACACCCUUGCAGGAUGAAAUGACUAAAAUAGCCCUAAUAGGUAAAAAACUGUAAAGCCCCUGUAGGGUAAAGUGACCGUAAUACCCUUGUAUGGUAAAAUGACGAAUAUGCCCUUAUGUUCCGUAUGACUGAUGUGCUUAGGAUUUACAUGUAUUGAUAUUGGAUUAGUUAAGUUUGAGUGUCAGGUGGUGGUUAUCGUAGGUGAUUGAUUAUGGAAACGUUUCAACUUCAACCCAUAACAGGUGUGUACUAACCCUCGUAGUAGCUUAGAUUAAUAUCUGCUGAGAAGCCGAAAUGCUAAAAUACCGGCAUUUCGGGAACUUGUAAUGUUGCGUGUGGGUAUAGAUGCGAUAAAUACGAUAAGAUCGGUGUUUGGAUCGAUGGAACGGGUAAGAACUCAAUUUUGUGCAUGAUGGUAAGUUGGGCCUCAAUGGGCAAGAAUUGGGCCAAAUGGGCUUUUGGGCCCAUUUGGGUAAAAUUGAUAGAAAAUGGAAUUUGGAAAAUUUGCAUGUUAACACGGUUAGUAUUGUUGUAAAAUUUGGGUUAAGCAGGCUUAGUGGGCUAAAUCAGCAUUCGUAGGGCCCAUUAGGGGUUUUGGGCGCAAAAGCCCGAAUUUGAUAAGUGGGUUAAAGAUCAUUGUUUAAACACUCGAAAUAUUAAAAAUUGUAAUGAACAUGGAAAACCCUGAUUUUUGGUAAAAUUACGAAAAUACCCUUAUAAUAUGAAAAAUGACUAUUUUGCCGUUGUGGGCAAGUGACUGACUUGGACUGUAUGGUUGACGGAUUUGAUUGUGAAUAUAUGUUGGUGAUAUGAAUGACUUGACUGUGAUUGUUUGAUUCAAAUAUGGGCAUGACAUUCUGCAUACAUGACAUAUUGCAUGGGAUAUGGGUUAUAUUGAUGGAGGAAGUGCUAAAAGGGCUCUGCCCCAGUUUACCGAAAAGGGCUUUGCCCCAGUUUAUCAGAAAGGGCUUUGACCCAGUUAUUAAAAGAGGCUAGGCCUCCAGUUAUAUGAUAAAGCAGCUAUGCUGCCAGUGGAGAGUUUGGUUGGGUGGGUUGAGUUAUUCCCCACAUGGAGAGCUUGGUUGGUAUGGGUGGAGAGUAGCGGCUGGUAGGUCGAGUAGUCUCCCCAAAUGGGCUUGCAUACAUUCAUUGACAUUACAUGUGAUAUUGAAAUGGGCUUGCAUACAUUCACUGACAUUACAUGUGAUAUUGAAAUGGGCCUAAGGGCCAUACGGUUUACAGUAAAGGCUUCGGCCCAGUGAUAUGAUUUAUGAAAAGGCUUCGGCCCAGUGAUAUGAUUUAUGAAAAGGCUUCGGCCCAGUGUAUGUCAAGACUAAAUAGGGCUUUGGCCCAGAUUGUACUGAUACCAUGUUAUUUACUGUUUGUUUGUUAUUGGGGUUACACACUGAGUUUUCGUAAACUCACCUCGUUUCUAACUGUGCAGGUAAUCCCUAAGCUUAGAUGGUUUGGAGCUGCGAGGGACUCGGAGAUGGCCACACUACUGUUUCUGUUUCUUUUAAUUGCAAUUAGAUUUCAUUUUGGGUUUUUAAUUUAUGUAAUAAGGUCGUUGGUGGGUUUUAAGUUUUAAUUUGGAUUGUGAUUUCUUAUACUAAACUGCUAGUCUAGGAAAACUCGACAUUUCAAAAUGGCACGAUUUUUUAAGGAAUACGAGCUUCCAACAACAAAGUUUUCAAAAUGCUUCCGCGAUUUUAAAUAAGGUAAUAUACCAAAGGCAAACAAAUUGGUAAACGUUUUGAUGGG
rnacentral:lncRNA from 1 species